CCCUUAGAUGUUCUGGGCUGCACGCGUGCUACAAUGGCGUUUCCAGCAAGUCUGCGAACCCGAGAGGGCCAGCGGAUCUUCGAAUUGGCGUCGUGAUCGGGACAGUCGAUUGCAAUUAUUUGACUCAAACGCGGAAUUCCUUGUAAUCGCGAUUCAUCAUAUCGCGCUGAAUACGUCCCUGCCCUUUGUACACACCGCCCGUCGCUCCUACCGAUUGAGCGAUCCGGUAAAUGUUUUGGAUUGGUGCCGGGGCGGCUAGCUGCCGGUCGCUACGAAAUUUUGUGAACCUUAUCGCUUAGAGGAAGGAAAAGUCGUAACA
rnacentral:rRNA from 1 species